rnacentral:rRNA from 1 species
GAUGAACGCUAGCGGCAGGCUUAACACAUGCAAGCCGAGGGGUAUAGUAGCAAUACUAGAGACCGGCGCACGGGCGCGUAACGCGUAUGCAAUCUACCUUUUGCAGGGGAAUAGCCCAGAGAAAUUUGGAUUAAUGCCCCAUAGUAUAAUGUCUUGGCAUCGAGAUAGUAUUAAAGUCACAACGGCAAAAGAUGAGCAUGCGUCCCAUUAGCUAGUUGGUAAGGUAACGGCUUACCAAGGCGACGAUGGGUAGGGGUCCUGAGAGGGAGAUCCCCCACACUGGUACUGAGACACGGACCAGACUCCUACGGGAGGCAGCAGUGAGGAAUAUUGGACAAUGGGCGCAAGCCUGAUCCAGCCAUGCCGCGUGCAGGAUGAAGCAUCUAUGGUGUGUAAACUGCUUUUGUACGAGAAGAAACACUCCAACGUGUUGGAGCUUGACGGUAUCGUAAGAAUAAGGAUCGGCUAACUCCGUGCCAGCAGCCGCGG